rnacentral:rRNA from 1 species
GAUGAACGCUGGCGGCGUGCCUAAUACAUGCAAGUAGAACGCUGAAGGAGGAGCUUGCUCUUCUGGAUGAGUUGCGAACGGGUGAGUAUCGCGUAGGUAACCUGCCUGGUAGCGGGGGAUAACUAUUGGAAACGAUAGCUAAUACCGCAUGACAACAGUUAUUGCAUGAUAACUGUUUAAAAGGGGCAACUGCUCCACUACCAGAUGGACCUGCGUUGUAUUAGCUAGUUGGUGAGGUAACGGCUCACCAAGGCGACGAUACAUAGCCGACCUGAGAGGGUGAUCGGCCACACUGGGACUGAGACACGGCCCAGACUCCUACGGGAGGCAGCAGUAGGGAAUCUUCGGCAAUGGACGGAAGUCUGACCGAGCAACGCCGCGUGAGUGAAGAAGGGUUUCGGAUCGUAAAGCUCUGUUGUAAGAGAAGACCGAGUGUGAGAGUGGAAAGUUCACACUGUGACGGUAUCUUACCAGAAAGGGACGGCUAACUACGUG